AAACAAAGGAGUGUGGGAUGCAGAUUCUGCAGCAGGUGGUGCAUGGGUGCAGUGAGAGCAUGCUAGGGACAAUGGCACUGCCAGCUUGCCAGUUCAUGGAAGAACCCGGAAUGGCAGUGCAGAGGCAUUAAUCUAAACAUCCUUCUAACAACAAUAGCAAGUUUGAGGAUAAAGUUCACAUUCCUGGUGCUAUCUACCUCUCCAUCAAAUGUGAC